rnacentral:rRNA from 1 species
UACGUAGGGUGCGAGCGUUAAUCGGAAUUACUGGGCGUAAAGCGUGCGCAGGCGGUUUUGUAAGCCAGAUGUGAAAUCCCCGGGCUUAACCUGGGAAUGGCAUUUGGGACUGCAAGGCUUGAGUGCGGCAGAGGAGACUGGAAUUCCUGGUGUAGCAGUGAAAUGCGUAGAUAUCAGGAGGAACACCGAUGGCGAAGGCAGGUCUCUGGGCUGACACUGACGCUCAUGCACGAAAGCGUGGGGAGCGAACAGG